CAGCAGCCCAAAACUCCUUUCUCCACUCACCCAAACCAAACAAGCCCAAAAUAUACUAACCCAGCUCAACUCCCAAUUUCGUUUCUCCUUUAAUUAACAACAGCAACCAACGAUAACAACAAUUUCACCUGCAAACAGCAGCAUCGAUCAACAACAAAACAACAUCAAUAUCGGGAAAACUGAUCCAUCGACGAUCCGCCAUCAGCCAACCCGACCCUUCGACGAUCCGACAUCAACCAUCGCGACCCAUAACCGGGCGACCCGACCCAUGUCUGGCAGCAGCUUCAACGAAGCUUCCAGAAGCGGGACAACUCAGCCAACCAUUGAGCGUACGGAUGGUACAAUUUUGUUCCGAAUCCAACAGAUCUCUUAUUCGAUUUUUGAAAUUCAAAAAUUUUCUGUUGAGAAUCCCAAAAUUGCUCUCAUUUCACCUUUUUCCCACAUCGAUUGAGCCUAAAAAAUUCUAUUCCGUGGUCAUAUUAUAAAAGGCUCUUGGUUGAACUAAAAGGGGGAGGGGGGCGAAAGUCUUGAAGGGUCGAGGAAACCUUUGAGAAAAACUGUCAUCUUUUAGUAAAACCAAUUUUUGUUUCGUGAAAUUCGUCGCCUAAUCGAAGUUUUUGAGUCGACGACGACAUUUUCGGGUGGUGACCGAUUCCGACGUAGCUCUUAGUCUGGUUUUGCUGCUCCGAAAUAGCUUUAUUUUGAGGACUGUCUUCCUGAUUCUACUUGACCCACAAAGUCAAUAGGAAUGGUAGGUGCAGGUCCAUGAUAUGGCAUUAGUCCCGAGAAUUCUGUAAGAUCGUCUUGACCCUGGAAAAUUCAUUUCGAGUUUACCAAGAACAGGUGAGGACGAGAUUACGUUGUACCAUUAUGUUUCUUCAUGAAAUUUAGUGUUGGUGGUUGUAUGGAUUGUCCUUCAGUUUUAUCUUAUUUCAGGGUUGUCGCUGAAACUAUCCCUGUGGAAAUCUAGAGAAGGGUCAUGCUGUUGUUUCUUUUUUUCCGCUCUUUUUCGAAGAAUGCCUUGCUAAAAAUUAUUCUUGUUGAGUUACUGUGCGAAGCAACUUUCAAAGUCCAGUUCUUGUCCGUCUCUAUUUUCUUGAAAUUAAUUGUUUUCACAUUUUUAUUGCGGAAAUGGUGUUACCAUGAUUUGUUCGAUAAUUUCCUAGGAAGCUUUUGUUACGUUGAAAAAAAUGUCUGUUCUUCCUCCUUUUUGUUUUUCGUUUUCCAGCAAAGAGUUAGUAGUCUUGUUAUUUAUUACUUUUAUCUGUCUUCGCUUCAAUUUAUACUCGAAUUGUUAUGAAAUGGUGAAAGGUUAUAGUUUCCUAGGAGGACUGUUUUGAUUGUAAAAUUUUGAUGAAUUUGUGAGUUGCCUUCUUGAUAUUUUGGCAUUAAAUAUUGCAUUUCAAGUCAACUGUCAAGAUUUGUGCCCAAUUUCCUGUAAAAAAAAUGAAUUAAUUUUCGAAUUAUAUUUUGAUGGCUUAAAUAACGAAUUAUUUCAUUAACUAGCAUCAUCUCUUGUUCCCUCCCUAUAUUUCUUUUCAAUUGCCGGGAAAUGCCUUGUUAAGCUAUGUAAUACUAUGAGUUAAUAUUGUAGAUUAGUAAAAAGAUCAGACUUGUUUUGAUUACUUGAAAAAUAUGAAAAGUAAAUCCAUGAACUUGUUCAAGAUUAAAUUUGGUCUGAAUCGGUUGCGUUUCUUAUUUAUUUGACAAAAUUAAUUACUCUUAUUAUGAAUGAAAUGCUAAUCCUUCUUUUUUCUUUGGCAUGGAAAUCUGUUCGGGAUCCGAGGGGACUUUCCUUUUCUUUGCAUUCAUAAUGGUUCAAUAAGGCCCAUCUCCACGAGUCAGCCUCAACACUAAGUCCAAACGUCGGUCCCAUGGCAUACAAAUGCAAGAAGAAUAAAAAUGGGUCAAAACCCAUUUGAUGAAGUCGUUAAGAGACUCAAAAAGUCUCAAUCUUAUUCUUGCUUUACUUUUAUUUAUUUAUUUGGGUCUCGAAGACAAAGCUGUAAGCUAAUACAGGUGAAGUGGAUUUUGGGCCAAAAAGGCUCGCAAACAUAGAUUAGGACAAGUGAAAAAUGAGUUGAAAGUCCAAUUAGAUUUGGACAGGGUUCAUUGAUUUGUGCCCAAUGACCUAAGUCUUUUACUUUCUCCCCUUCCCUUUUUAUGUUCUAUUUGCUAUUUUAUUUUUUAGACUUAGUUGAAAUUCCUGUUAAGUCGUCAAAACUGGUUUUGAACUAAUCUUGAAAACAAAAUUUCAUCUUAA